rnacentral:rRNA from 1 species
GGGUAGUUUGACUGGGGCGGUCUCCUCCCAAAGAGUAACGGAGGAGCACGAAGGUUAGCUAAUCACGGUCGGACAUCGUGAGGUUAGUGCAAAGGCAUAAGCUAGCUUGACUGCGAGAGUGACGGCUCGAGCAGGUACGAAAGUAGGUCUUAGUGAUCCGGUGGUUCUGAAUGGAAGGGCCAUCGCUCAACGGAUAAAAGGUACUCCGGGGAUAACAGGCUGAUACCGCCCAAGAGUUCAUAUCGACGGCGGUGUUUGGCACCUCGAUGUCGGCUCAUCACAUCCUGGGGCUGAAGUAGGUCCCAAGGGUAUGGCUGUUCGCCAUUUAAAGUGGUACGCGAGCUGGGUUUAGAACGUCGUGAGACAGUUCGGUCCCUAUCUGCCGUGGGCGUUGGAAGAUUGAGAGGGGUUGCUCCUAGUACGAGAGGACCGGAGUGAACGCACCACUGGUGUUCGGGUUGUCAUGCCAAUGGCAUUGCCCGGUAGCUAAGUGCGGAAAAGAUAAGCGCUGAAAGCAUCUAAGCGCGAAACUUGCCUCAAGAUGAGUCUUCCCUUGGACUUUGAGUCCACUGAAGGAACGUUUAAGACUAAGACGUUGAUAGGCUGGGUGUGUAAGUGCAGCGAUGCAUUGAGCUAACCAGUACUAAUGAUCCGUGAGGCUUAACC